rnacentral:rRNA from 1 species
UACGUAGGGCGCAAGCGUUAUCCGGAAUUAUUGGGCGUAAAGAGCUCGUAGGCGGUUUGUCGCGUCUGCCGUGAAAGUCCGGGGCUCAACUCCGGAUCUGCGGUGGGUACGGGCAGACUAGAGUCCGGUAGGGGAGCGUGGAAUUCCUGGUGUAGCGGUGAAAUGCGCAGAUAUCAGGAGGAACACCAGCGGCGAAGGCGGCGCUCUGGGCCGGAACUGACGCUGAGGAGCGAAAGCGUGGGGAGCAAACAGG